CUGCAUGGUUGUCGUCAGCUCGUGCCGUUGAGGUGUCGGGUUAAGUCCCAUAACGAGCGCAACCCUACCUUUAGUUGCCAUCAGGUAAUGCUGGGGACUCUAAUGAAACUGCCUACGCAAGUAGUGAGGAAGUGGGGAUGACGUCAAAUCAGCACGGCCCUUACGUCCAGGGCUACACACGUGCUACAAUGGCCGGUACAAAGGGCAGCUACCUGGUGACAGGAUGCAAAUCUCCAAAGUCGGUCUCAGUUCGGAUCGGAGCCUGCAACCCGACUCCGUGAAGUUGGAUUCGCUAGUAAUCGCGCAUCAGCCAUGGCGCGGUGAAUACGUUCCCGGGCCUU
rnacentral:rRNA from 1 species